GUCCAUCCAUGCCUCUGUCUGUAGAGCAUGUGGCUCUCAAUCUCAGGUUCAUGGGUUUGAGCCCCAUGUUGGGCA